GUAAAUUAAAGUUUUACAGGCCUU
rnacentral:tRNA from 1 species